rnacentral:rRNA from 1 species
GACGAACGCUGGCGGCGUGCUUAACACAUGCAAGUCGAGCGAGAGGAAUUCCUUCGGGAAUGACUCUAGCGGCGGACGGGUGAGUAACGCGUGGGUAACCUGCCUCAUAGAGGGGAAUAGCCUUCCGAAAGGAAGAUUAAUACCGCAUAAGAUUGUAGUACCGCAUGGUACAGCAAUUAAAGGAGCAAUCCGCUAUGAGAUGGACCCGCGUCGCAUUAGCUAGUUGGUGAGGUAACGGCUCACCAAGGCGACGAUGCGUAGCCGACCUGGGAGGGUGAUCGGCCACAUUGGGACUGGGACACGGCCCAGACUCCUACGGGAGGCAGCAGUGGGGAAUAUUGCACAAUGGGGGAAACCCUGAUGCAGCAACGCCGCGUGAGUGAUGACGGUCUUCGGAUUGUAAAACUCUGUCUUCAGGGACGAUAAUGACGGUACCUGAGGAGGAAGCCACGGCUAACUACGUGCCAGCCGCCGCCGUAACAC